CAACUUACCCUUGGGACYGGGAUAACUCCUGGGAAACUGGAGAUAAUACCGGAUAGAGCAUCGAAUGCUGGAAUGCACUGAUGUUCAAAAGCUGAGGUGCCCAAGGAUAGGUCUGCGGCCGAUUAGGUUGUUGUUGAUGUGAUGGAUUAACAAGCCUACGAUCGGUAYGGGUUGUGAGAGCAAUAGCCCAGAGAUGGGUUCUGAGAAAAGAACCCAGGUCCUACGGGACGCAUCAGGCGCGAAAACUUUACAAUGUGCGAAAGCACGAUAAGGGAACUCUGAGUGCCUCCUACGGAGGCUGUUCAGKUGUCUAAAACGCAUYUGAAGKAAGGGCUGGGUAAGACCGGUGCCAGCCGCCGCGGUAACACCGGCAGCCCAAGUGGUAKCCAUGUUUAUUGGGUCUAAAGCGUCCGUAGCCGGCCACGUAAGUUCCUUGGGAAAUUUAAYCGCUUAACGGUUAAGCUUUCRGGGAAUACUGCUUGGCUUGGGACCGGGAGAGGUCAGAGGUACUCYAAGGGUAGGGGUGAAAUCCAUUAAUCCUUGGGGGACCACCGGUAGCGAAGGCGUCUGACCAGACCGGAUCCGACGGUGAGGGACGAAGGCUAGGGUCACGAACCGGAUUAGAUACCCGGGUAGUCCUAGCUGUAAACGAUGCGGGCCAGGUGUUGGCAUUACUGCGAGUGAUGCCAGUGCCGAAGGGAAGCCGUUAAGCCCGCCAUCUGGGGAGUACGGUCGCAAGGCUGAACUUAA
rnacentral:rRNA from 1 species